AAAUUGAAGAGUUUGAUCAUGGCUCAGAUUGAACGCUGGCGGCAGGCCUAACACAUGCAAGUCGAACGGUAACAGGAAGCAGCUUGCUGCUUCGCUGACGAGUGGCGGACGGGUGAGUAAUGUCUGGGAAACUGCCUGAUGGAGGGGGAUAACUACUGGAAACGGUAGCUAAUACCGCAUAACGUCGCAAGACCAAAGAGGGGGACCUUCGGGCCUCUUGCCAUCGGAUGUGCCCAGAUGGGAUUAGCUAGUAGGUGGGGUAACGGCCCACCUAGGCGACGAUCCCUAGCUGGUCUGAGAGGAUGACCAGCCACACUGGAACUGAGACACGGUCCAGACUCCUACGGGAGGCAGCAGUGGGGAAUAUUGCACAAUGGGCGCAAGCCUGAUGCAGCCAUGCCGCGUGUAUGAAGAAGGCCUUCGGGUUGUAAAGUACUUUCAGCGGGGAGGAAGGCGAUAAGGUUAAUAACCUUGUCGAUUGACGUUACCCGCAGAAGAAGCACCGGCUAACUCCGUGCCAGCAGCCGCGGUAAUACGGAGGGUGCAAGCGUUAAUCGGAAUUACUGGGCGUAAAGCGCACGCAGGCGGUCUGUCAAGUCGGAUGUGAAAUCCCCGGGCUCAACCUGGGAACUGCAUUCGAAACUGGCAGGCUAGAGUCUUGUAGAGGGGGGUAGAAUUCCAGGUGUAGCGGUGAAAUGCGUAGAGAUCUGGAGGAAUACCGGUGGCGAAGGCGGCCCCCUGGACAAAGACUGACGCUCAGGUGCGAAAGCGUGGGGAGCAAACAGGAUUAGAUACCCUGGUAGUCCACGCCGUAAACGAUGUCGACUUGGAGGUUGUGCCCUUGAGGCGUGGCUUCCGGAGCUAACGCGUUAAGUCGACCGCCUGGGGAGUACGGCCGCAAGGUUAAAACUCAAAUGAAUUGACGGGGGCCCGCACAAGCGGUGGAGCAUGUGGUUUAAUUCGAUGCAACGCGAAGAACCUUACCUACUCUUGACAUCCAGAGAACUUUCCAGAGAUGGAUUGGUGCCUUCGGGAACUCUGAGACAGGUGCUGCAUGGCUGUCGUCAGCUCGUGUUGUGAAAUGUUGGGUUAAGUCCCGCAACGAGCGCAACCCUUAUCCUUUGUUGCCAGCGGUCCGGCCGGGAACUCAAAGGAGACUGCCAGUGAUAAACUGGAGGAAGGUGGGGAUGACGUCAAGUCAUCAUGGCCCUUACGAGUAGGGCUACACACGUGCUACAAUGGCGCAUACAAAGAGAAGCGACCUCGCGAGAGCAAGCGGACCUCAUAAAGUGCGUCGUAGUCCGGAUUGGAGUCUGCAACUCGACUCCAUGAAGUCGGAAUCGCUAGUAAUCGUGGAUCAGAAUGCCACGGUGAAUACGUUCCCGGGCCUUGUACACACCGCCCGUCACACCAUGGGAGUGGGUUGCAAAAGAAGUAGGUAGCUUAACCUUCGGGAGGGCGCUUACCACUUUGUGAUUCAUGACUGGGGUGAAGUCGUAACAAGGUAACCGUAGGGGAACCUGCGGUUGGAUCACCUCCUUACCUUAAAGAA
rnacentral:rRNA from 1 species